UACGUAGGGCGCAAGCGUUGUCCGGAAUUAUUGGGCGUAAAGAGCUCGUAGGUGGCGUGUCGCGUCUGCCGUGAAAGCCCAUGGCUUAACUGUGGGUCUGCGGUGGAUACGGGCAGGCUAGAGGCUGGUAGGGGCAAGCGGAAUUCCUGGUGUAGCGGUGAAAUGCGCAGAUAUCAGGAAGAACACCCGUGGCGAAGGCGGCUCUCUGGGACGGUACUGACGCUGAGACGCGAAAGCGUGGGGAGCAAACAGG
rnacentral:rRNA from 1 species